rnacentral:rRNA from 1 species
AAUCAACGCUGGCGGCGUGCCUCAGACAUGCAAGUCGAACGAUUAAAGCUCUCUUCGGAGAGUGCAUAGAGUGGCGCACGGGUGAGUAACACGUAAGUAAUCUACCCUCGAGUGGGGAAUAACGUCCGGAAACGGACGCUAAUACCGCAUAAUGCAGCGGCACCGCAAGGUGACAGUUGUUAAAGGAGAAAUUCGCUUGAGGAGGAGCUUGCGGCAGAUUAGCUUGUUGGUAAGGUAACGGCUUACCAAGGCUACGAUCUGUAACCGGUCUUAGAGGACGGUCGGUCACACUGACACUGAAUAACGGGUCAGACUCCUACGGGAGGCAGCAGUC